rnacentral:rRNA from 1 species
AGAUUAAGUUAUUAAGGGCGCACGGUGGAUGCCUUGGCACUAGAAGCCGACGAAGGACGUUACUAACGACGAUAUGCUUUGGGGAGCUGUAAGUAAGCUUUGAUCCAGAGAUUUCCGAAUGGGGAAACCCAGCACGAGUUAUGUCGUGUUAUCUGCAUGUGAAUACAUAGCAUGCAAGAAGGCAGACCCGGAGAACUGAAACAUCUUAGUACCCGGAGGAAGAGAAAGAAAAAUCGAUUCCCUGAGUAGCGGCGAGCGAAACGGGAAGAGCCCAAACCAAUAAGCUUGCUUAUUGGGGUUGUAGGACACUCUGUACGGAGUUACAAAAGAAUUUGUUAGACGAAUAACCUGGAAAGGUUAAUCAGAGAAGGUAAUAAUCCUGUAGUCGAAAACGAAUUCUCUCUUGAGUGGAUCCUGAGUACGACGGAGCACGUGAAAUUCCGUCGGAAUCUGGGAGGACCAUCUCCUAAGGCUAAAUACUCUCUAGUGACCGAUAGUGAACCAGUACCGUGAGGGAAAGGUGAAAAGUACCCCGGAAGGGGAGUGAAAGAGAACUUGAAACCGUGUGCUUACAAGUAGUCAGAGCCCGUUAAUGGGUGAUGGCGUGCCUUUUGUAGAAUGAACCGGCGAGUUACGAUCUGAUGCAAGGUUAAGCAGAAAAUGUGGAGCCGUAGCGAAAGCGAGUCUGAAUAGGGCGAAUGAGUAUUUGGUCGUAGACCCGAAACCAGGUGAUCUACCCUUGGUCAGGUUGAAGUUCAGGUAACACUGAAUGGAGGACCGAACCGACUUACGUUGAAAAGUGAGCGGAUGAACUGAGGGUAGCGGAGAAAUUCCAAUCGAACUUGGAGAUAGCUGGUUCUCUCCGAAAUAGCUUUAGGGCUAGCCUCAAGUGAUGAUUAUUGGAGGUAGAGCACUGUUUGGACGAGGGGCCCCUCUCGGGUUACCGAAUUCAGACAAACUCCGAAUGCCAAAUAAUUUAACUUGGGAGUCAGAAUGUGGGUGAUAA